GGUCUGUUGGUGUAAUUGGAAGCACGUCUUCCUAUGAACCAGGAGGUUCCAGAUUCGAUCCUGGGUGGAUCA